rfam:Schistosoma mattheei strain Denwood, Zambia genome assembly, scaffold: SMTD_scaffold0019042
AUCUAGCUGACCAGUCCCAAAUAGGACGAAACAAGUAUCCUCGAU